UCAGGCCUAACACAUGCAAGUCGAGCGGAAACGAGUUAUCUGAACCUUCGGGGGACGAUAACGGCGUCGAGCGGCGGACGGGUGAGUAACGCCUAGGAAAUUGCCCUGAUGUGGGGGAUAACCAUUGGAAACGAUGGCUAAUACCGCAUGAUGCCUACGGGCCAAAGAGGGGGACCUUCGGGCCUCUCGCGUCAGGAUAUGCCUAGGUGGGAUUAGCUAGUUGGUGAGGUAAGGGCUCACCAAGGCGACGAUCCCUAGCUGGUCUGAGAGGAUGAUCAGCCACACUGGAACUGAGACACGGUCCAGACUCCUACGGGAGGCAGCAGUGGGGAAUAUUGCACAAUGGGCGCAAGCCUGAUGCAGCCAUGCCGCGUGUGUGAAGAAGGCCUUCGGGUUGUAAAGCACUUUCAGUCGUGAGGAAGGUAGUGUAGUUAAUAGCUGCAUUAUUUGACGUUAGCGACAGAAGAAGCACCGGCUAACUCCGUGCCAGCAGCCGCGGUAAUACGGAGGGUGCGAGCGUUAAUCGGAAUUACUGGGCGUAAAGCGCAUGCAGGUGGUUUGUUAAGUCAGAUGUGAAAGCCCGGGGCUCAACCUCGGAAUAGCAUUUGAAACUGGCAGACUAGAGUACUGUAGAGGGGGGUAGAAUUUCA
rnacentral:rRNA from 1 species